AAACAAAAGAAACAAAGAAGAAGCACCAAGCUUAACCCCGGCUCAUGACUAUCACAAUCUGGUAUUUUCUUCCUCCGUCCCAUCUUCCUUAUACUACCCCAAGAUACCAACUCCUAUACUAUGGAUGAUAACUACUUUUCUUGACUAUUCAUCCAUUCUACCCAUUGAACUACCUUUUCAGCAGUCAUCUAUCCCUGUUUACACUAUAUACUAGGUAUCUACAUUUUGAAAAUAACUACUUAUUCUACAUAGCCCCACUCCUAAUCGUGCAGCAUCCUCGCAAACAUACAAUCCGAAGCUGAACUAGUUACUCCUCAACAUUACCCGUACUUAGAUCCACUGAUUCUAGUUCUAAAGGCACAUCAUCAUUCUCUUGGUCUCA
rnacentral:lncRNA from 1 species